AAGUCGUAACAAGGUUUCCGUAGGUGAACUUGCGGAAGGAUCAUUAUCGUAUCUCUGGCGCGUGCGGGUGCGCCCUGCUCCGGUCCACCGAGGGCCGUGCAGCGGGCCGUUCGCCGUGUCCAACCUUCACAAAACCCCACUGUGCACCUUUCACGGCGGAGGGCUGCUGGCGAGAGCCGGCGUCCAAAGUCGCAUAUACAAACCCCUAAAGUUCAAAAGAAUGAAACGCGACCUCGUCGUCGCCUAAACGCAAAACAA
rnacentral:misc_RNA from 1 species